GCCGGGCACAGUGGCUUAUACCUGUAAUCCCAGCACUUUGGGAGGCUGAGGCAGGUGGAUCACCUGAGGUCAGGAGUUCGAGACCAGCCUGGCCAACAUGGUGAAACCCUGUCUCUACUAAAAAUACAAAAAUUAGCUGGGUAUGGUGGCAGGCGCCUGUAAUCCCAGCUACUCGGGAGGCUGAGGCAGGAGAAUCGCUUGAACCCAGAAGGCGGAGUUUGCAGUGAGCCGAGAUUGCGCCAUUGCACUCCAGCCUGGGGGACAAGAGUGAGACUCCGUCUCA
rnacentral:sRNA from 1 species